rnacentral:misc_RNA from 1 species
UGAUCAUAAAGAUAAAUAACAACAAGAAGGUAAGAAGAGCACCCAUGCAUAGAGCUUGCUUAAUAGUGUAUUGUUUCAUAACAGAUGCAACACAGAUGUAUUAUUCAACUCAAAAUGAGUUCCACAAUCAUUAUUUAGAGAGCACUCAACUCCAUACGUAAAUUAAGAGCGAGCAUAACAUACAGGAACACGCCUCUGGAUGGGGGUUCUACAUGAAGGGCAAUCCUUCAUUCCUUGUUUCUCAUGGAGCUCAUUACAUGUUGUGCAAACCACUUGAUGGGCACAUGGGAGGAAAACCACUGACAUCUCUUCUGAAAGGCACAUCACACAUUCUCUCUCCCGUUUCACACUUCCUGUGUCAGAGUAUUCAUGAAAAUCUGCGGCUUCCAUUACUGAGUAAUAAGGAGUUGCGAACUCCUUUUGUGCAGUGCUAUUCUUAGCAUCUGUGAGUCUGCUAGCAUAGCUUUCACUGAUACCCCUUCGAAGGGCUGCAAUUUUUGAUGAGUCCGUCUUCAAUCUCAAUUGGUAGAUCUCUUUUUCAAGCCCCUGAAUAUCAUCCUUGUAUUUCUGCAAAUUAGUUUCAGCUUUCAAUUUCAUCACAUCCUCUUUAGAUUUAGCUGAAGUCUCAAUUUGUUCUCUUUCUUUUCUUAUUGAACUAGCCUGCAAAACUAGUUCUUCCUUCAACUUCUCUUCUUGUUGCCAUCUAGCCUGUAUUUUUUUUUAAGGUUAUUCACUGCAAAUGAAACCAAUGAUAAAAGCUGUAACUACUAACUACUGGCAUGCAAUUAUUGAAGGAUUAUAUUGGGCGCUAGGAACUGUGUAUCAAUGAAAUCAAAGUGCCAUAUGCUUUGAAAAUUUUUCUUAUUGCAUUUCAGAACAACAUAAUUAGACAUUCAUCCUCUUGAUAUUUACCACCACAACUAUCACACCAAAAGCUUUUGAGGAACAAAUCAAAGUUUUGCUUCUGGGUUGAGGCAAUCUGGCCAAAAUAGAAAACAACACCUAAAACAGUUAUGAUAAAGGAAACAAAAAAGAAGGAAGAAGAAGAAAAAGAAAAGAAAUGGUGCAAAACGAUCAGAAUAAGGUAUACACACACACACAGAUAUACAUAUAUAUAAACCAAUUUGAAGGUAAAGACUGAAGGACAAGGUGAAUCUGACCAGCCUUUUUAAUUUUAUUUUAACAAAGCCCCAGAAAAAUUUGAAGUAACAAAUAAAGUGUGCAAUACAACUCAAGAAAAUCUCUGAUGAAAAAAUUUUUGAUUAUGAAAAAAGCAACAUUUCCUGCCAAAGAAAAACAUAUAAAUAUCUUAUCAAAGAUGAUCCAACAAAAUCUACACACUGGCAAUGAGAUGUGUAACUGUCUUUUAGCAGCAGAUGCACAUAUACUAUGUCAUAAGCAUGCACAAUUACCUCCACAUGUGUGCUUACCAUAUACUGUAUGCAUGCGCCCAGUAACAGCAUGCGCCCAAUACGGGGCACAUGGGAAAUGAUAAUGAAGUUUAAUUUGAUCUCAAAAAACUCCUACAUCAGGAGUCAAGGUCAACCUAAGUGGAUGAUGUCUGUCAUUAUAUCCAAAUUUUUGUGUUUUAAAGCAGUGCCAUGACCUGUAUUAACCAGCUAAAAUAUGCAACACAGAAACAAUGCACGGCUAGUUCAAUAGUAAUCGUAAACCUCAUAAUACCCACCGUAUAUAAUGAUUGGCCUAAUUCACUUAUGUUUAUACCAUGCUUAGGAAUCAAGUGACAGGUUCAAAAACAUCCUGCAUGUAACCUCUGAAGAAAUAUGGAGCAUAAGGAAAUUGGAAUUGAAUGUUCAGAAGCAUACCUCAUGUUGUUUCUGUAGUUUUUUAGCCUGUUCUAGAUCCUGUAGUUGCUGUGCAACCUUGCGUUUUUCAGCUGCAAGUUCUUCUUGUAGAAGGGUUUUCUGCUUCUCCCAUGACUGAAACUUCAUCAGAGUCAUCUUCUCCCUCUUUGAUACUUCUUGACAGCUUGCAGCUGACUCUGCUGCACGCAAUUUUGCAGCCUCCAUCUCUUGCCUCAGUGCAGCAUUCUCUACCUCAAGCCUCCGAACAGCAGAAUUAGCUCUCUCCACCUGCCCACUAGCCUUGCCCAAAGCAUUUUCCAUCUCCGUGAGCUUCUUCAUGGUGUUCUCUUCCAGAGUUUGUUUCUCUUUCUUGAGUCGUUCAACUUCUUCCCUCUCCAGCCUGAGUGACUUAAGUUCAGCCUUAUCCUUGCUCAAUCUUCGAGCAGCCUGCAUAACUUUCUGGUUUGCCCACUCUGUCCAUUCUUGGAGCUGAUUUUGCAAUUCUCGAACUGCAGGAACCAGCUUCAUAAUCAUCUCAUCCUUCUUGUCCCUUGGAACCCACUGUGUUAGCGACUUAUCAUAUUGUAUACCAGCAAAACUGCAAUUAGGUUCCUCGGUGUUACAGUCAAUAGAGGCUGAAGUGGAGUGAAUUUUUGCAGGCAAUGAAAGUGAGAGCUCUGUAUCAGUAGCGGCCAAUACAGGAGAAGCGUUGAGUGCAGGCAAUGUGGAUGGGAUGUUGACCGAGGCUAGUGUAGAUGGGACAUUGGUCUUGGGCAAAGAACAAGUUGUACUUGAACUUUCUAAAUUAGAAGAUGCUGGGGGAGAGGAUCCAGGAUUGAUUGAAAGACUCUGGCUUCCAUUAUCUUGAGGCAUGUCAAUUCCCAUUACCUUACUCAAUCUUAGAGAAGCAUUAUUUAUUUUUAGAGCAGAAUCUGAAACAGAUUUUAGUUUCUUAUCCAAAAUCAAACUACUCAACUUUCCAGUUCUUGAUCCUUUAGGCCCAUAUGUUCGGAAGCCCUUCUCCAAAUGAAGUGACUUCUGUCGAAGUAUGUUUUCUCUCUUGGUGCUAUUGGAAUGAACCUUUCUAUUGACAAUAAACUUUUCUUCCAACAUAGAAGGUUGAGAAGUUGCUGCAAUGUUGAAAGAUUUAUCAGCAGGAUCACAUGUAGAAUUCAAUGCAUCUUUAUCUGAGGCUAAUCCACUAAGAACACUGGGGUUCUUUCGGUUGGUUACGUUGGGAACUCCUGUCUUGUUGUUGGGUGCCUCAAAUUGAGAACUAUGAGAACAAGGAACAGAAGGUUCCAAUUUACAAGGAUUUGGAAGAAUUAACUCAGAACAUUUGGCUUCUGCUUUCAUCUGGGGUUGGGAAGAAAUAGAGGAAGUCCCAUUUGAAGCCCCAUCAGCAGCAAAACUACUCAAGGGAUCACCAUCCAUUGCACAAGCAUGAGAGACAUUCAUGUCAGAAAUCAACAAGCACCACAUUGCAUCACCAGUGCUGAAGAAAGGCCUAACUUCUCGAAGUACACAAACCAUUUCUGCCAAUAUAUACUUUUCCAGCUGCUGUAAAUCCUCAAAACAGUAUUCCCUCGAUGGAUCAAUCACCCGACCAUUUCUAAGAAAUGCUAAAGUAUUAUCCACAAUAUUUGACACAGUGUCUUUACACCCAUAACAAAGACCAGACCUCAAAACAGCCUUUGUAGCAACAUCUUCAGUAUAACCACAAGCAACAAUCUUUUUAAUGGCACUCUUGAAGAUUGCAUCCAAAUUGCUUAACACAAGUUCUUCUAGCUGGGAUUCUGUAAGAUCACUCCAAUCAGCUUCAUGGGAUUCUUCUGAUUCCAAUUCCUCUCUAGACUGGCUUGUUCCAACUUCUGAUGAUCCUAUGCCACUUGACAAUCCAAGGUCUAGUAUCAACCCAUCAGAAUUGUCUUGGUUAAUGCCACACAGGUCACACCCAUGAAUUGGAGUAGCUUCAAAUUUCUCAGCAGAGAAUUCAUAACCAGAGCAUUCAUUCUGAGGUGAAGUCAUAACCUUGCUGGGGUCACCCAAAGGUGGAUCAGCCCGGAAUUUUCUCUUAUUUCUGCUUCCUUUUUCUUGGACUGGAUGCAAUGGUGACACCUGACUGCUACAGCAACUACUACUGGAUUUAGCAACCAUUGAUGCCAUUUUUUUAGCUUUUUAUCUUCCUAUCAACCUUAACGAAUCAAAAAUCAAAUUUCGGAUUUCUCAGGUUAUUGUUGGAGCAAAAUCAAAGGCACGCGAGACGAAUCUCAGAACAUUGAAGGAAAAAAGAAUACAAAAAUAUAUAUAUGGCUCGUUUUGGUAUAUUUUCAAUUUUCCUUUUUGAUUUAGUAGCUAACGCCUGUCCUCUCCUCUCCCCUCCUCUGCUCUCCUCACCCUCACUCUCUCUACAAAAUAAAUAUGGCCUUUAUGAAUUUUUAUAAUUUGUUGUUUU